CCGUUGUGUGAUGUGAUUUAGAAUUUAAGUUUGCUGGCAGACCCUAGCUUCUUAUCAUUCCAGGUCUCAAUCAAUUGAGGUUAGGUUGAUAGGACGCUGGGCUCACUGUAAUUCGCAAGAAUUGCAGAGAUGUUCAGCAGAACCUUGACAACUGCAUAGGUAAGUCUGGAAAGAAUAAAGCAUCUCAUGGAUGCAUGAUUCUUGGGAGUCAGCUAAUGCAAUCUGCGCCAGUAGAGAGCUGAGGUUGAUCAACGAGAAUGAUGUUUGAUUCUUGAGUCAAGAGCCGAGACUCUAUAGCGUUCUUUCGAUGUCAUCGAGGCGUCGAGAGUUUGAUUGGUGAUUCAAACCAUCUUCAAUGACAAACAAUUCAGUUUAACU
rnacentral:misc_RNA from 1 species